GGGACGUUGAUCACAACAGGCGACACUCGGCGACGAAUGCGUAUUGCGUAGUGACGAGUGAGCGCUGGUCUCUCGCGUUGUGGGUUUUGGGGUUUUUACGUGCCUCAACGCUGGACAUAAUCGUAAAUUUGUCUGCAGUGUCAUGUUUGAUCAUAGCAAAGUGAUUUCCAGGAUGGUGUAGCAAAUACGGAUUCCCAACAACAACAUAUUACACGUUGAAGCACUUGAGGAAAUUUUUCAACCGAGCUGUGUCGCUAUUUGCGACUUAAACUGCAUCCGAGUCAGAGUGAAGUAUUGCGAUAGAAGGACGUUUGGUUAUAAGGGUCUUAUAACAUCCAUCCCGGAACACCUCAGGUGUAAAAAACACUGAUCUCUGUAUUAAUUCGAUGCGAUAUGGUAUAAACAGCCUUGUCACCCUUGUGACCCUUGUCACAGAUAGAAGUCAUGUUACUUGUGAUCAAUUUGACAAAUUUAACAUGGCCGCUCACCCGAACUUGCGUGUGUAAUAAGUGGUUCAAUGUACCCGAGUGCAGUAAUUUUCUGUGAGGUACUUGUGCUAACGAAAACAAAAAUUGUUUAUGACACACGCAAAAUGUUGUAAUAGCGCUGACUUGUACAUAUUGUAGAAAAAGAGGUGGGGCAGAAUAAAGGACACUUGACAAACGAGUUUUGUAAUAUAUACAGAUCAGAAAGAAAUGCUCGACGACCUUACAGAAUUCUCGGAGGAUGCUUUCGAUUGAUUACUUCGAAAAUUAAUCCGAUUUUCAUCAAUCAAUUGCCAGCAGGAUUUCGACUGAAGUUUACCAACAUCCAUUUGGAACACUCGUCUUUGGAGUUUUACCUAAUUAAUCAUUUCACAGCAAAGAAUUAUAUGGUAUGUUUACAACUGUGUCAUGAAAAUCCGAGACACAACCAAUUUAUAUUUGUAAUAUCGAUCAUAAAUAAAACUGACUAAUCUCGUGAAAAUCA
rnacentral:misc_RNA from 1 species